GGUAACGCGGGGCAACCUGGCGACGAGUGGCGAACGGGUGAGUAACGCAUCGGAACGUGCCCAGUAGUGGGGGAUAGCCCGGCGAAAGCCGGAUUAAUACCGCAUACGAUCUACGGAUGAAAGCGGGGGACCGUAAGGCCUCGCACUAUUGGAGUGGCCGAUGUCAGAUUAGCUAGUUGGUGGGGUAAAAGCCUACCAAGGCGACGAUCUGUAGCUGGUCUGAGAGGACGAUCAGCCACACUGGAACUGAGACACGGUCCAGACUCCUACGGGAGGCAGCAGUGGGGAAUUUUGGACAAUGGGCGCAAGCCUGAUCCAGCCAUGCCGCGUGAGUGAAGAAGGCCUUCGGGUUGUAAAGCUCUUUCGGUGAAGACGAAACGGUUAGCGUUAAUAACGCUGACUAAUGACGGUACUCACAGAAGAAGCACCGGCUAACUACGUGCCAGCAGCCGCGGUAAUACGUAGGGUGCAGGCGUUAAUCGGAAUUACUGGGCGUAAAGCGUGCGCAGGCGGUUUGCUAAGACAGGUGUGAAAUCCCCGGGCUUAACCUGGGAAUUGCGCUUGUAACUGGCAAGCUAGAGUGUGGCAGAGGGGGGUGGAAUUCCACGUGUAGCAGUGAAAUGCGUAGAUAUGUGGAGGAACACCGAUGGCGAAGGCAGCCCCCUGGGUUAACACUGACGCUCAGGCACGAAAGCGUGGGGAGCAAACAGGAUUAGAUAUCCUGGUAGUCCACGCCCUAAACUAUGUCAACUAGUUGUCGGGGAAGAAAUUCCUUGGUAACGAAGCUAACGCGUGAAGUUGACCGCCUGGGGANUACGGCCGCAAGGUUAAAACUCAAAGGAAUUGACGGGGACCCGCACAAGCGGUGGAUUAUGUGGAUUAAUUCGAUGCAACGCGAAAAANCUUACCUACCCUUGACAU
rnacentral:rRNA from 1 species